UGGGGAAUAUUGCACAAUGGGCGCAAGCCUGAUGCAGCCAUGCCGCGUGUGUGAAGAAGGCCUUCGGGUUGUAAAGCACUUUCAGCGGGGAGGAAGGCGAUAAGGUUAAUAACCUCAUCGAUUGACGUUACCCGCAGAAGAAGCACCGGCUAACUCCGUGCCAGUAGCCGCGGUAAUACGGAGGGUGCAAGCGUUAAUCGGAAUUACUGGGCGUAAAGCGCACGCAGGCGGUCUGUCAAGUCGGAUGUGAAAUCCCCGGGCUCAACCUGGGAACUGCAUUCGAAACUGGCAGGCUAGAGUCUUGUAGGGGGGGGUAGAAUUCCAGGUGUGGCGGUGAAAUGCGUAGAGAUCUGGAGGAAUACCGGUGGCGAAGGAGGCCCCCUGGACAAAGACUGACGCUCAGGUGCGAAAGCGUGGGGAGCAAACAGG
rnacentral:rRNA from 1 species